GCAGUGUCAGUUCCUUUUGAAGACAGAAGUGUAUCGCAACACUCUCCACCUGCUUCCCAGGAGUCUGGUGUGCAUUACUCUGCAUCUUCAAGUUGUGACAAAGGGCCUCAGCAUGCAAUGCAAGAUGCAGCAACACAGAGAGAUGAGAGACGUUUGGAGGAAAGCCCACAAUCACACAAUAGAGACCACCCGCACAAGAUGCAACCACUCAGACGGUGCUUACAGAGGAUCCC